GAGUGAGGGAGAAGAGAGGAGGAGGAGGAGGAGGAGGAGGAGGGAGGGGGGACAGCCUCCCAUCUUAACACACUCGAGUAUAUUCAAAAAGUGAGAGGCCCAGAGCAGCAGCAGCAGCAGCAGCAGCUCCAGCAGCAGCAGCAGCAGCAGCAGCUCCAGCGCCUUCCUUCCCUCCCUCCCUCCUUCCUUGCUUCCCUCCCUCCCUCCCUCUCUCCCCAUGAAGAAGAGUCCCCUCCUCCUCCUCCUCCUCCUCCUCCUCCUCCUGCUGCUUCUCCUGCUCAGAGUUCCUGCCUCCAGCUGCCAGGGGGACAGCCAGCCAGCAGCAGGAGGAUUUCAUGGACCUGGAGGUAAAGAACUUUUGAGAAAAGACGUCUCCAUGGGCCUACGGAAGCCUCAGUGGUGA
rnacentral:lncRNA from 1 species